rnacentral:rRNA from 1 species
UUUCGCAAUGCCCGAAAGGGUGACGAGGCGACGCCGCGUGUGGGAAGAAGGCCUUCGGGUUGUAAACCACUGUCGGGAGUUAAGAAAUGUAAGGGUGCUAAUAGUAUCCUUACUUGACUAAGGCCCCGGAGGAAGCCACGGCUAACUCUGUGCCAGCAGCCGCGGUAAUACAGAGGCGGCAAGCGUUGUUCGGAAUUAUUGGGCGUAAAGAGCACGUAGGCGGCCUUGUAAGUCAGUUGUGAAAGCCUUCUGCUUAACGGAAGAACAGCAUCUGAUACUGCAAGGCUAGAGUGCGGAAGGGGAGAGUGGAACUUCUGGUGGAGCGGUGAAAUGCGUAGAUAUCAGAAGGAACACCGGCGGCGAAGGCGACUCUCUGGUCCGUAACUGACGCUGAGUGUGCGAAAGCUAGGGGAGCAAACGGGAUUAGAUACCCCGGUAGUCCUAGCCGUAAACGAUGGGCACUAAGUAGAGGGGUUUUA